rnacentral:rRNA from 1 species
UGAGCGGUAGAGAGAAGCUUGCUUCUCUUGAGAGCGGCGGACGGGUGAGUAAUGCCUAGGAAUCUGCCUGGUAGUGGGGGAUAACGUUCGGAAACGGACGCUAAUACCGCAUACGUCCUACGGGAGAAAGCAGGGGACCUUCGGGCCUUGCGCUAUCAGAUGAGCCUAGGUCGGAUUAGCUAGUUGGUGAGGUAAUGGCUCACCAAGGCGACGAUCCGUAACUGGUCUGAGAGGAUGAUCAGUCACACUGGAACUGAGACACGGUCCAGACUCCUACGGGAGGCAGCAGUGGGGAAUAUUGGACAAUGGGCGAAAGCCUGAUCCAGCCAUGCCGCGUGUGUGAAGAAGGUCUUCGGAUUGUAAAGCACUUUAAGUUGGGAGGAAGGGUUGUAGAUUAAUACUCUGCAAUUUUGACGUUACCGACAGAAUAAGCACCGGCUAACUCUGUGCCAGCAGCCGCGGUAAUACAGAGGGUGCAAGCGUUAAUCGGAAUUACUGGGCGUAAAGCGCGCGUAGUGGUUUGUUAAGUUGGAUGUGAAAUCCCCGGGCUCAACCUGGGGGAA